UGUGGGAGCUGGCUUGCCUGCGAUGACAUCACCUCCUUGCAUCUGAGAGACCGAGGCGUCUGCAUCGCAGGCAAGCCAGCUCCCACA
rnacentral:misc_RNA from 1 species